AGAACAAUGCUGCAGACUACAAGGCCACCUCGUACCCCAAUAUUUAUAAGCCAUGCCCCCUCGCCUUAUCGUGUUAUUCUUUCUCUCUCAGGACCAGAAGCAGCAGCUGUUGGCAUCAUGCGCUCCCUUGUGAUGCUAAGUGUGGUGGUGGGGGUCGCCCUCGGCCAAGGAUAUAUCCCGGACACGCCGGAGGUUCUGGCGGCUCGCAACGCCUUCGUCAAGGAGUACAACCGCCUUGCCAUGCUGGCGGCCCAGGCGCCAGACACACACAUCUACCACGAGCAGCUUCAUCAUCACCCGGGGGCAACCAAGCAUCACCAUCAUCAUUACGGCGUACCCCUUCCCUCCCUUCAACAGCAUGCCGCUGUCAAUGCUUAUAAAUAUUCAGCCAACCUGGGCCUCAAUGAACAUUACGUUCCAGGCCCUAAGACAUUCUCCUCCGUCAACCAUCUAGCUGGCCAUAUGGCAGGACACCAAGCGUUCACUGCUCAGGACGCUCCCGUGGUCCCCUGGACAGGACCUCUAGCGGACACUGUGCCUGCAGGCCUCAAUGGCCAAGUGAAAGACACCCCAGGUGUGGCAGCUGCCAAAGAUGAACAUUUCAAGGCCUUAAAAAUGGCUACACACACACCUACCGGUCAUACGCCCUACACCCACACAUUCCAUCCGCCUGCCUCUCACUCCUUCCAGCACAUCCCCGCCCCCGCCCAAGCACUGUUCCCAGCCCCCGCCCAAGCACUGUUCCCAGCCCCCGCCCCUGUGAAACCCUGGACGGGACCGAUGGCGGACACUGUGCCUGCGGGCGUGGAUGGUUUUGUUAGAGACACCCCGGGAGUGGCCAAUGCAAAAGCAGCCCAUUACCAAGCUUUGGCUUCAGCCUUAGGCUACCAGGGUGUCAACUUUGCGGUUUAACGGCAGGAAUCUUCAGUGGCGCAGUUCCGUUCUCAGGUGAGAAACACUUGGGUGGGGGAGGGGGUACAUACAGUCACCAGGUGAGGAGCCCCGAGGGGUACACAGUCACCAGGUGAGGAGCCCCGAGGGGUACACAGUCACCAGGUGAGGAGCCCCGAGGAGGCAUUUGGUGAGGUGUGUGCAGUCACCAGGUGGAGCCUGGAGAGGCACACACACUCACCAGGUGUGUAGCACAUGUUUACCUCUGUACCUAAUGCUUCUGGGUAACUAAAUCUUUUGUUUAAUAUA
rnacentral:misc_RNA from 1 species